rnacentral:tRNA from 1 species
UCCCAGGCCGUCCUGUGGUUAGGACGCCGCGCUUUCACUGCCGUGGUCUGGGUUCAAUCCCUGGUCAGGGAA